CCUACGGGUGGCAGCAGUGAGGAAUAUUGGUCAAUGGACGAGAGUCUGAACCAGCCAUGUAGCGUGAAGGAUGACUGCCCUCGGGUUUGUAAGCUUCUUUUAUAUGGGAGUAGAAUGUUCCACGAGUGGGAUUUGCUAUGUACGUUAUGAAUAAAGCACGGCUCACGCCGUUCCAGCAGCCGAGGUAAGACGGGGGAUCCGAGCGUUGUCCGGAUUUAUUGGGUUGAAAGGGAACGUAGGUGGAUUGUUAAGUCAGUUGUGAAAGUUUGCGGCGCAACCGUAAAAUUGCAGUUGAAACUGGCAGUCUUGAGUAUAGUAGAGGUGGGCGGAAGUCGAGGUGUAGCGGUGAAAUGCUUAGAUAUCACGAAGAACUCCGAUGGCGAAGGCAGCUCACUGGACUGCAACUGACACUGAGGCUCGAAAGUGUGGGUAUCAAACAGGAUUAGAUACCCGUGUAGUC
rnacentral:rRNA from 1 species